UACGGAGGGUGCGAGCGUUAAUCGGAAUUAUUGGGCGUAAAGGGUGCGUAGGUGGUUUAAUAAGUUAUCUGUGAAAACCCUGGGCUCAACCUUGGGGAGAGAGAUAAGACUGUUGAACUGGAGUAUGGGAGAGGGUAGUGGAAUUUCCGGUGUAGCGGUGAAAUGCGUAGAGAUCGGAAGGAACACCGGUGGCGAAGGCGGCUACCUGGCCUGAUACUGACACUGAGGCACGAAAGCGUGGGGAGCAAACAGGAUUAGAAACCCCAGUAGUCC
rnacentral:rRNA from 1 species